GCUGGAACUCGCAACAUCUUUAUGACUUGUUGGAAUCGCCACUUUAAUAGCUACAAUCUCAACCAUAUAACACCCUUGAGUUUCGAGAAGAUUUCCCAUCUGUUUUGUAUCACCAGGAAGAGAUGUUGAACCCUAGAAAAAGAGGGGUACAGGACUUGAAUCACUCCUAAGACUGGGUGAAGAGGUGAACUUGAUGAAGUAAGCUGCUUUGAACCUCCUUGUUGAGAGAAAAACCAGGGUAUAAAUACAAAUAAUAACAACAACAGCAGCAACAGCAACAACAGCAGCAACAACAACAACAACAAUUUAUUCCCUCAAAAAUAAUCAAGAAAAACUAGACCAGAACUCCUGUGUAGUUGAGGGUCCCAGUCAGAAGUGUAUUGAAUGAUCAAACACAAAAAGAUUAAGACAACUAUUAAUAGUUGAGUUCUCACAGAGUAACUUCAGCUGUAUAUGU
rnacentral:lncRNA from 11 species